AUUGAACGCUGGCGGCAGGCCUAACACAUGCAAGUCGAGCGGAUGAAGGGAGCUUGCUCCUGGAUUCAGCGGCGGACGGGUGAGUAAUGCCUAGGAAUCUGCCUGGUAGUGGGGGAUAACGUCCGGAAACGGGCGCUAAUACCGCAUACGUCCUGAGGGAGAAAGUGGGGGAUCUUCGGACCUCACGCUAUCAGAUGAGCCUAGGUCGGAUUAGCUAGUUGGUGGGGUAAAGGCCUACCAAGGCGACGAUCCGUAACUGGUCUGAGAGGAUGAUCAGUCACACGGGAACUGAGACAGGGGCCAGGCCCCUAGGGGAGGCGGCAGUGGGGAAUAUGGGAAAGGGGGCGAAAGCCUGAUCCAGCCAUGCCGGGGGGGUGAAGAAGGGUUUCGGAUUGUAAAGCGCUUUAAGUUGGGAGGAAGGGCAGUAAGUUAAUACCUUGCUUUUUGGAGGUUACCAAAAAAAUAAGCACCGGCUAACUUCGU
rnacentral:rRNA from 1 species